AUGAACGCUGGCGGCGUGCCUAAUACAUGCAAGUCGAGCGAACGGACGAGAAGCUUGCUUCUCUGAUGUUAGCGGCGGACGGGUGUGUAACACGUGGAUAACCUACCUAUAAGACUGGGAUAACUUCGGGAAACCGGAGCUAAUACCGGAUAAUAUUUUGAACCGCAUGGUUCAAAAGUGAAAGACGGUCUUGCUGUCACUUAUAGAUGGAUCCGCGCUGCAUUAGCUAGUUGGUAAGGUAACGGCUUACCAAGGCAACGAUGCAUAGCCGACCUGAGAGGGUGAUCGGCCACACUGGAACUGAGACACGGUCCAGACUCCUACGGGAGGCAGCAGUAGGGAAUCUUCCGCAAUGGGCGAAAGCCUGACGGAGCAACGCCGCGUGAGUGAUGAAGGUCUUCGGAUCGUAAAACUCUGUUAUUAGGGAAGAACAUAUGUGUAAGUAACUGUGCACAUCUUGACGGUACCUAAUCAGAAAGCCACGGCUAACUACGUG
rnacentral:rRNA from 1 species